rnacentral:rRNA from 1 species
GACGAACGCUGGCGGCGUGCCUAACACAUGCAAGUCGAGCGGAGCAGUAGCAAUACUGCUUAGCGGCGGACGGGUGGGUAACGCGUGGGCAACCUGCCUUUUACAGGGGGAUAACACAGGGAAACUUGUGCUAAUACCGCAUGAAAUCUUGGAAGGACAUACUUUUAAGAUCAAAGGAGCAAUCCGGUAAAAGAUGGGCCCGCGUCCGAUUAGCUAGUUGGUGGUGUAACGGACCACCAAGGCGACGAUCGGUAGCCGAACUGAGAGGUUGAUCGGCCACAUUGGGACUGAGACACGGCCCAGACUCCUACGGGAGGCAGCAGUGGGGAAUAUUGCACAAUGGGGGAAACCCUGAUGCAGCAACGCCGCGUGAAGGAUGAAGGUUUUCGGAUUGUAAACUUCUUUAGUCGGGGACGAAGAAAUGACGGUACCCGAAGAAUAAGCCACGGCUAACUACGUGCCAGCAGCCGCAGUAACAC